GGCUCCGGCGGGCGCGCGACGAGAGGAUCGCCGAAGAGGUUGGUCGCGCCCCCCCCCCGGCGCAAAAUCGCUCCGAUCGAUUCCAUUUCACCCCGAUUUCUGCUUCGGAUUCCAGUCUGUUGGUUCCCCCGCUUGAACUCGCAGGAAUGGUGGGAUUGGGGGUUUCGAGGGGGCGCGGGGAUUAGUAGUCCCAGGGUUUAGUGGAGAUGCGGUGCUGAGGGUCGGAGGAUGCUGUGGCGGGGGCGGUUGAAUCGCGUUGCGGCGGAAUCAACAGCUUGGUGCGGCGUGGUAGCAUUGUUCUGUGUUGGCUGGGGAUAGGUGCAGGGUGGUUUUCAGUGGAAUCACGUAUUCAAGGCUUUUUUUAUAUAUAAAAAAACGUGGUCAUGGAAUCAAUAUUAUCAGCACUUUGUAGAGUCUAUGCCGAAUCUUUUGUUGCUUUUGGAAGAAUAUAUGAUGUCAGUUGUUAGUGAUUUUGCACUGAGGUGACUGGUUGAAUUAGGAAAGGUCUAAGCUGCCUGCUAUGAGGUAGGCAAGAAGGCUGCAUGAAUGAUGAAUCAGUCAAUAUCAGAUCACUCUUGCUGGCUAUUUGGUCCCAACUUUUACUAGUUAGAUAAUGUCUUAACGAAUGCUUCCAUGUGUAAUCUAUUUGCCAUAGUAACAGGGCACUAACCAAUCACUUUAGCUGCAACUUUAGGGUUUAUUAUGUUUCCAUGGCUUGAUGGUAACAUUGUCAAACUGAUCCUUCGUGUUGUGCAAUAUAAGCUGAACUGUUGCU
rnacentral:sRNA from 1 species